rnacentral:rRNA from 1 species
CCCUUAGAUGUUCUGGGCCGCACGCGUGCUACACUGAGUGGAUCAGCGGGUCAGGUUGCGCGAAAGUGUUUCCUAAUCUUGAAAUCCGCUCGUGAUGGGGAUUGACGGUUGCAAUUUUCCGUCAUGAAUGAGGAAUACCUUGUAAGCGCGGGUCAUCAUCCCGCGCUGAAUACGUCCCUGCCCUUUGUACACACCGCCCGUCGCUCCUACCGAUUGAGUGGUCCGGUGAGGCUUUGGGAUCUGAGCAAAGAGAGCGUUUCGCUCGUUUUGCCCGGAAAACUCAGUCGAACCUUAUCAUUUAGAGGAAGGAGAAGUCGUAACA